UACGAAGGGGGCUAGCGUUGCUCGGAAUGACUGGGCGUAAAGGGCGCGUAGGCGGAUGGCACAGUCAGAUGUGAAAUUCCCGGGCUUAACCUGGGGGCUGCAUUUGAUACGUGUUGUCUUGAGUUCGGAAGAGGGUCGUGGAAUUCCCAGUGGUAGAGGUGAAAUUCGUAGAUAUUGGGAAGAACACCGGUGGCGAAGGCGGCGACCUGGUCCGAUACUGACGCUGAGGCCGCGAAAGCGUGGGGAGCAAACAGG
rnacentral:rRNA from 1 species